GACGAAGGUGGCAAGCGUUAUUCGGAUUUACUGGGCGUAAAGAGCGCGCAGGCGGUCAUUCAAGUCGAGUGUGAAAGCCCCCGGCUCAACUGGGGAGGGUCACUCGAUACUGUUUGACUCGAAGGCGGGAGAGGGAAGUGGAAUUCCCGGUGUAGUGGUGAAAUGCGUAGAUAUCGGGAGGAACACCAGUGGCGAAGGCGACUACCUGGCCCACUCUUGACGCUGAGGCGCGAAAGCUAGGGGAGCGAUCCGG
rnacentral:rRNA from 1 species